UACGUAGGGUGCGAGCGUUGUCCGGAAUUAUUGGGCGUAAAGAGCUCGUAGGCGGUUUGUCGCGUCGGCCGUGAAAACUUCCAGCUUAACUGGGGGCUUGCGGUCGAUACGGGCAGACUUGAGUUCGGCAGGGGAGACUGGAAUUCCUGGUGUAGCGGUGAAAUGCGCAGAUAUCAGGAGGAACACCGGUGGCGAAGGCGGG
rnacentral:rRNA from 1 species